GGAGUGGCAUGGAGUGGAGUGGAGUGGAGUAGAAUGGAAUGGAAUGGAAUGGAAUGGAAUGGAUGGAAGAAAGGCAGAGAGCAGGCCACAGCACGGCCCCCAACCUCGACCUCAUGUCCACUUCCUCAACCUUCCUCCCACGGUAAGCACCCCGGUCUCCCGCUGCCCUCUCCUCUGUCUC
rnacentral:miRNA from 1 species